GCCGGGGUGGCUUAGCUGGACAUAGCGCCGCACUCAUAGGGUUCCGAGAUUCGGUGCGGUUCCCACUCCGCUCCCAGAGGCCCGCCGAGCCUCGUACCUGGGACAUGCGGAGAUCGCGGGUUCGAAGCCCGCCCCCGGCA
rnacentral:tRNA from 1 species